rnacentral:rRNA from 1 species
UACGGAGGGUGCAAGCGUUAAUCGGAAUUACUGGGCGUAAAGCGUGCGCAGGCGGUUUGGUAAGUCUGUUGUGAAAUCCCCGAGCUCAACUUGGGAAUUGCAAUGGAUACUGGCAGGCUGGAGUAUGGUAGAGGAAGGUGGAAUUCCCGGUGUAGCAGUGAAAUGCGUAGAGAUCGGGAGGAACACCAGUGGCGAAGGCGGCCUUCUGGACCAAUACUGACGCUCAUGCACGAAAGCGUGGGGAGCAAACAGG